rnacentral:rRNA from 1 species
AGUGAACGCUGGCGGUAGGCCUAACACAUGCAAGUCGAACGGCAGCACAGUAAGAGCUUGCUCUUACGGGUGGCGAGUGGCGGACGGGUGAGGAAUACAUCGGAAUCUACUUUUUCGUGGGGGAUAACGUAGGGAAACUUACGCUAAUACCGCAUACGACCUACGGGUGAAAGCAGGGGAUCUUCGGACCUUGCGCGAUUGAAUGGGCCGAUGUCGGAUUAGCUAGUUGGCGGGGUAAAGGCCCACGAAGGCGACGAUCCGUAGCUGGUCUGAGAGGAUGAUCAGCCACACUGGAACUGAGACACGGUCCAGACUCCUACGGGAGGCAGCAGUGGGGAAUAUUGGACAAUGGGCGCAAGCCUGAUCCAGCCAUACCGCGUGGGUGAAGAAGGCCUUCGGGUUGUAAAGCCCUUUUGUUGGGAAAGAAAAGCAGCAGGUUAAUACCCCGCUGUUCUGACGGUACCCAAAGAAUAAGCACCGGCUAACUUCGUG